rnacentral:rRNA from 1 species
AGGACGAACGCUGGCGGCGUGCUUAACACAUGCAAGUCGAGCGGAAAGGCCCUUCGGGGUACUCGAGCGGCGAACGGGUGAGUAACACGUGAGCAACCUGCCCUUAGCUCUGGGAUAGCUCCGGGAAACCGGAAUUAAUACCGGAUAUUACACCGGCUGGCAUCGGCUGGUGUGGAAAGAUUUAUCGGCUAAGGGUGGACUCGCGGCCUAUCAGCUUGUUGGUGGGGUAGAAGCCUACCAAGGCGACGACGGGUA